AGGCGCAGGAGAGUUGGUUUCUUUAGGCUUGGUGUCUCUGUGUUGGUGGGCAGCUGAUGGCUGUUGCUGCUUUGUUUUAGAGCCACAGGAGUGAGUCCUUGAGUGAAUAACUACAUGUCACCCUGAAUAGAACAACCCUCAUGUACUUCAUCUGCAAAAAACUCAGGAAAACUGGAAACUGCAUAAUAGCAGCCAGCAGGAUAGCUGAGCCAAUUCAAGACUUUGGCACCAGAAGGCUUCUGUAGCCAUUUUGAUGUAUCCAAGUCUGUCUCUUCUGUUUCAUUCCCAAAUGAAUUUGCCUCAUAAAAAAUGCAAAGAUAAAACGGCAUAAAUGUGUGUAGAAAAUAUCACCUAGCAAAGUCAACAGAGGGGAAAAACAGUGUUGAAAAGAGAAUUCUACCACAACCAAACAAGACUCUAAAAAUAAAAGAGAUACAGUAGUACUAGC